rnacentral:lncRNA from 1 species
UGAGAGUGUGAAGGCUGGGCAGAGGGAGAGAGGAGGGUGAUCCACAGCUGCUGCCCCUCAAGGUGAUUUCUGACUCCUCAGUAAAGCUGUCAGCCUUCAGAUAGAACUGAAGUGUUUGUCCCUUCAAACAGCUGUCCUGCCUUUGCUUCUUUUGAUGCCGUGAAGUUCAUCAAUAUUCAUCAGAACUGGAAAGAGAGAGACUAAUUUUCAGCAGAAGCAGCUGAAUGACACACUGGCAACACCAGCACUGGCAACAAGGGCAGAUCCUUUGCCCUUUGCUGUCUCUCACCCUGGACACUUACCAUGCCACCACAGUGCUGCUGGCUGGAGGAGGUCUGCCAAGCAUUUAGAAGUGAUGCCUGCACUAAUCCUACCAGCUCCCAGUGAGAGCACAGGAAAAUCUAAGCAAGCUUGCAAGCUUCCAGAACUGUGGAUUCUCUGCAAGCUGAGCUCGGGCAAGGAAGGCCAAUAGCAGGAAAGGAAAACCUGCUGCAAACCCAUCUGAAGGCAAAGGGCUGGGACCUCUGGCUGGCAGCAACUUACAGGAAUGCCACUGUUGUUUUGUUUGCAGUGAUUAAAGGUGAGCUUCUUAGCCCUGUGCUAAGGGAUUUCUUGCCUUUGAAACACAUUUUGUUAAUUAUUGCAUCCUAAUUCACUUUCUACUGUGGAAUAAACCUUGCUGUGGACAG